ACUGCGGUUAGCUGAAAGCUAGUGCCGCCAAGCUACCAUCUGUAGGAUUAUGGCUGAACGCCUCUAAGUCAGAAUCCAUGCUGGAAUAGACGAUAAUCACCUUUCCCGAUGUGCCGCGAAUAGCGAUAGGUGUCUUCUGGACACCCAACAUCAUACAAUUGCAACGCACUUCGCUGCCUGUCAAGUACUGGCGGUGGAGAGUAGGCUGAUUUGU